GGAAUAUCAAACCUCUAUAUUCUCCUUUGUUCUCUGUGUUCUCUGUGUUUGACCUCAGUUCUCCUGUUCCCUAAAGGGAGGUACUUUAGUGCUGAUCACAGACAGGGCUAGCCUCUAGGAAGAACGGUUUGUGGAGGUUCUCCUGGUCUAUUGAUUGCUUUCCAUCACCCCACAAAAUGCAUACCAGCUGGGGACGAGGAUGGCUUCCCACUAGAAAGGAGGAAUGUUAAUCACUCAAAAGGCACCUCUCGAAAAACUGGCAUCACCUGACCCAUCAACAUUGAAGAUGCAGUGGGAGAGUGCUCAGAAAGAGCCCGGAGAGGAACAGCGGGCAGGUGUGUGCAUCUUUACACUCAUGACAACUGAGGGAAGGAAACUGCUCCCUGCUCCCUCUAAGCAGAAGAGAACCCUACCCACCCAUCCCAC
rnacentral:lncRNA from 1 species